GGCACUGGGGCUUGGGCAGAAAGAGUAUGGAGACAUCCACAGUAAAGCUCCUGGACAGACGAAGGGGCAACACAGGAGAACACCAGGACAACGCAGAGGCAGGGACAUUGAGAGUGAGGAGCACAUGUACAUUCCCCAAGGUAGACACAUGUAUACAGCCACACUGACAGAUACAGAUGUACAAAUGGUCAGACAUGUAGAGAUAUGGCCAUCCAGAGAGAGACACGCACACAAGAUCUCACACAUACACGGACGAUCACGGAAACAUUCCCCAAUGCAGGUAAUCAGAUCUGUACCCACAGGGAUGUGGUGAUAAAUGGUUAAUGUCUGCUCUUGAGGGAAAAGUGCAUAUAGAUUACAUAAGUUCACUACAAAUUUUACUGAUAUAAAGGAUGUGUAGCACACACUUUACAAAUGAUAAUAUAUACAAUGAUCUCUAUUGUCAGCUCCACAUAGCCAAUUGAUUCUCACAGAAUGCUUGCAUUAAUUUUUGCUUUAACUCUUUUAUGUGUCAAGAUUUGUACUAAAUUCCAACAUAUUUAUAUUAUUAUAACCAAGCAAAUCCAAUUCUGAGUGUAUACUCAUUAGAAAUAAGGGCAUUUUUCCUCUAAAUACAUAUCCAUGAAGGUUUAUAGCAACUGUAUUGAAAUAACCAAGAACUUGAAGCAACCCACAUAGGCAUCCAUGGGAACACGCCUAAAUAAAUGAUGAAAUGGUCACAAAAUGGAAGAAAACAAGCAAUGAAAACUGCUGCUUCAUGCAACCCUGCGGAUGAAUCUCAUAGAA